AUUGAACGCUGGCGGCAGGCCUAACACAUGCAAGUCGAACGAGUGGCGGACGGGUGAGGAAUGUCUGGGAAACUGCCUGAUGGAGGGGGAUAACUACUGGAAACGGUAGCUAAUACCGCAUACCAUCAGAUGUGCCCAGAUGGGAUGAGCUUGGUGGGUGGGUAAAGGCUCACCAAGGCGACGAUCCCUAGCUGGUCUGAGAGGAUGACAAGCCAAACUGGAACUGAGAGACGGUCCAGACGCCUACGUGAGGCAGCAGGGGGGAAUAUUGCACAAUGGGCGCAAGCCUGAUGCAGGCAUGCCGCGUGGAUGAAGAAGGCCUUCGGGUUUUAAAGUACUUUCAGCGGGGAGGCGUUACCCGCAGAAGAAGCACCGGCUAACUCCGUGCCAGCAGCCGCGGUAAUUC
rnacentral:rRNA from 1 species